CUCCAUACUGAUUGGUUAUAUGAGUGAGUGAAUGAAUGGACACGUGCUUUCAUUACUCUCAGACAUUACCCAGGAGUGGAAUUGCUGGUCACAUAUGGUAGCCUGAAACAUUCCUUUCUUCUUCACCUGUCUUUGCAAUUAUCACAAUGUAGUGAGCAUGAUUGGUUUCCCACCUUUCUCCCUUAAGCCGGAAGCUCCUUGAAGGUAUGGAUUGCGCUUUACUCCUCUUUAUUUCUACUGUCCACUGCCUGGCAUGUGUAAAAUUGGUGUAUGAGUACUAAUAAUCAAGGAAUCAAAAGGGACCAGCGCUGAUGUCUGAAUUACUGUGAUGCAUCUGAGAGCAGUGUUGUCCUCUUAUGAG
ensembl:lncRNA